UGGAGACCCUGGCUGAAACUCGUCUGUGUCAGAUCUGGGAGACCAAGCUGUGCUGCUUUCAGGAUCCUGUGGUUGGCAACACGCGGGGAAAACCAAGGUGAGGGGCAGAUAACAACAAGAAAUGACUGUCUUGAAGAACUGAAGCUUUUAUUGGAGCGGCUCUCUGUUUAGUAGACGGAUGAACACGCCGAGAGGACAACACAAUCAAAAGGUGCCCCAAGUGCUGGAAGGAUGCAGCUGACGUGAAGGCAGUGAAAGCCUUUGGAAGCCAAAUGCUCAGAGGUGACGGCCCAGCAUCCGUCCGUAUUAGUUGGGAAACGGGGAAGAUUGCGACCCAGAAGUAUGAAAUUCAGCAGCUUCCUAUGAGUGUGCCGAGAGGAGGAGAAAUACUCCAGACCAGAUUAUGAAACCCCGGAGGUGGAUUUAAGGGCACUGGCCUUUCUCUGACGAGGGGAAGGUGACA